GGAAAAACAAAAAAAUAUUAUUUGAAAGUUGAAUAGCUUGAUAUAUAUAUGUUCAUGCCAAUUACCGGGCACAACGGGCCAAUGAACGUGGAUCACCGGCGAUAGUGACGUCAAUUAAACGCGGCGGAAACGGAAGGAGUCGUCUUCUUAAUAUAAGCAAGCAGACGGGAAAGGCGUAGUCAGGGUGUUGAACAUCGGACUGUUAAGUUGGUACUUGUUGCACGGGAAGAUCACAACUUAAGCUAGCAAUGGGAAACAUAGACUCUGGAUUUAGCAGUCAUGGUGGUAGUGCCAUGGGAUAUGGAGGAUAUGGGGGUGUCGGGGGUGCCGGGGGUGGCAACGGGAUUUUCGACAUCCUCAUUUUCCUGUUCGUGUUCAUCGUAAUUAUCCGCGUGCUCGGCUUUGGAGGCGCCGCUGGCGGUGGCAUUGGUGGUGGCGGCGGCGGUGGCGGCGGCGGCAGCAGAUAUAAUAACGACAACUACAAGAAAUAGCCUUGAAACAUCCUUCACUCGAAUCAUUGCGAUCGUUCUUUGCCAAGUCACACACAUCCUCCUAAAUUAUACGUGUGUUCAAUAUGCCGCAAUGUUUCUGAUGCGAUGUGAUACGGGCAAAUGGAAUAAAUUAUACUGCAAUCAAACACGUGUGUCUAAGUGUUUAUUUUCAAAGUAAUUACCAGUCAGGAACUCACUCGUAAAUGAUACAUGCUUUCAAAUGCUGCAAUAUUUCUUAUGUGAAAUUAAAUACAUAUAGGUCUAUCCUGCAAAGAUA